rnacentral:rRNA from 1 species
GAUGAACGCUGGCGGCGUGCUUAACACAUGCAAGUCGAACGGAAAGGCCCUGCUUUUGUGGGGUGCUCGAGUGGCGAACGGGUGAGUAACACGUGAGUAACCUGCCCUUGACUUUGGGAUAACUUCAGGAAGCUGGGGCUAAUACCGGAUAGGAGCUCCUGCUGCAUGGUGGGGGUUGGAAAGUUUCGGCGGUUGGGGAUGGACUCGCGGCUUAUCAGCUUGUUGGUGGGGUAGUGGCUUACCAAGGCUUUGACGGGUAGCCGGCCUGAGAGGGUGACCGGCCACAUUGGGACUGAGAUACGGCCCAGACUCCUACGGGAGGCAGCAGUGGGGAAUAUUGCACAAUGGGCGGAAGCCUGAUGCAGCAACGCCGCGUGCGGGAUGACGGCCUUCGGGUUGUAAACCGCUUUCGCCUGUGACGAAGCGUGAGUGACGGUAAUGGGUAAAGAAGCACCGGCUAACUACGUG